GGAGGGGUAUAGGGGGUGGGCGUCGGGGUGGUUGGUUUGGGAUUGAGGAGGGUAGCGUGAGGAGGAAGGAGUAGAGGAGCGGCGGCGGUGGAGGAGGCACAGGGCGGUGGAGGAGGAGAAGCAGCUUGGUGGUCGAGGAGGAAGGAGUUGCGCAGGGUGUCGCCACGGGUGGCGCAGCGGACGGCCGGCGGGAGCGCCCACCGACGCAGGCGGUCGAGGUGGCCGCUGGACGAUGGGGUAGCGACCGGAGAGGGUGUGGGGAGAGAUUGGGAUCUAAGGGUAGUGACCGCCUCCGUGGAAGGAAGGGAGUACGACGUGGACUUCGAGGGAGGGCGAGGGUCGAAAAGAAGGACGAGACGGCGGCGAUCCCAAAGCAGAGGGGCUAGGGGUAAGGGGCUUCCAGCCUAGGUCGUCUUCUUCACUACCACCGGCGCCCUCUAGGAGAGGUUCCAAGCUCGGUUCCGGCGACUACCUCGACGUCGACGGUCUCCUCGGCUGAGCAGCCUACGCCGGGGGCGGGGGCGGUUCCUGGAGUUCUAGACCCUACGCGCAGCCUACACGAAGGGGUUGCGGCUGCGGCUGCGGCAUUCCACUCGGGACAUGACAUGUUAACCGCCCUCCGUAGCACCUGAACGGCCCCGCUCUCUUGCUGGGGAUGUAGCAGAGAGGGUUACAAAUUCCCAGCAGGGUUGACAAGUUCCUUGACGUAUAAACCACACCUAUAUCGAUGGCGAGCACGCUGUACACAAAUCGUACGAGAGAACAGACGACUGGAGAAGGACCCGAAGAGUUGGUCGAAACUCGUCCAGAUGCGUGACCGGGGAGGCCGGUCCAGAUGGAGCUGUUCACGAUGUAAUGGAUAUCGAUGAUGGGGUGCCGCCGUCGGAGCCUCGACGUCGAGUGGGUGCUUCCAGAGAGGGAGGAGAGAACACGUUCUACGAGGGUAACCAAAACAAAUCUGUUCUUCUUGCUCUUGUUCCUUCACCGGCAGUUACUGAAGGACGGAAGUCUUCUACGGAUACUCCGGUAGGUUGUGAGGUAGUCCCUAGUCCCCACUCCCUUCCGUACCUCCUCCGCAAGUUGUACAUGGCCGUCAGUCACUAGUCGCACCGGGAGUAGCUCUGCGAUCUGUUCUACUACCGGUCACUGUACGUGUCGGGGCUCGAGCGGUACCGGCAGCAGCACGUCACGCUGUUCCAGCGGGGAAGGGAAGGGAAGGUGUACGAUGGUGAAGUGACGAAGGAGAGGGUUUGAGUAGCUAGUUGUUGCUCGUAGAUAGAUCUAACCGGUUCACAAGCAACUAGAUGUUCGGCCAAAUUCUAGACCCUAACCGGCCAGCUUAAGUUGUGCCUCGACUCACAUACAGCUUUGUAAAGUAGGUAGUUCGCGGCGGAGCGGCGGAGGCCGGUGGGGCUACUGCGGGAGCGGAAGUGGUUGGAGGUGAUGAGGUACUCCGACCCACGCACGCGUACCGCCGCCCAGACGACACCACGCACGCCACCACCGCGCCGACCCGAGCUCCUCGACGCUACGCCGUCCCUCCCUCGACGAAGGAGAACAGGACGAAGCACAGGGACUCCACCAAUCGACACGUCCCCCGCCCGCUCCUCCCACGACGACGCCCUUCUUCUCCUCCUUCUUCCGCCGCCGCCUAAACCUGACGCAUGCUCAGUCCGACGCUGCCCCUCGACGACGACAACCACGAUGACUUGUUUCCUCCUUGAUGUCGACGACGAUGGAACACGACAAGGACCUUCGAACGGCUCGAUGACGAGGAACACACCGACGAAGAACAAAGAUGCCGUGUCUUUCUUUCUCCACGUCGCACGACUUUUCAUUCUGGGACCCGACCUGACGAAAUGUCUCAUAAAAAAAGCCACCUGAACGACAACACUCGAACCACAACACCACCACCAAUAAUGACAAUGUACAAUGUACAUCUCUACGAAGUACUAAAUCAGGGAUCGACGAAAGAUAUAAACAAAAGUAAAACAAAGAUUGAGAAAAACAAAUAACAAUCUACGGAAGCAAGUCGGACAUGCUUGUAUAGGUCUUUACUACAAAGGAGAGUAAAUACUUCGAGGUCGGACUUUCACUUACAGCCACAUGAUCCCAUCCCCAGGGGAUCAUAGGGCUUGAACACGUGCCCGCCAACGUCGUGGGGCGCCGUUCCGAACGGCCCAUUGGCGGUUCCAGGAGGUACCAAGAACACCUCGGUAAGUUCUUGUUUCAUAAGUGCGGUUCCUCUGUUCCGUGGCCGUUCUCCUCGAACGGCCCUUCCGGUUGGUUCCGUAGAGUUCCUUGAACGGCGCUGCGCGGUGCGCAGGGCCGUUCCGGGCCGCUCACUGUUCGAAGGCCCGCGCUGUUCCGUUGCUGGCGCCGUUCCGCGAACGGCGCCGUGUGAUGGUGGGACAUGGAUGAGAGGUCGCGUAGGUGGUUGCACAGCGGGACCCCGGAAAGGUCCGCGCGCACCGCUCUCGGACACAUCGGUCGCCACGCACCACCGUUCGCCGCGACUGUUCUAACGGUAGCACUGUUCGUCACCGUGGGGACUGUCAGGGAAAGACGUGACAAACCCGCUGCAUCUGCCCGUAAAUUACGGUAACAGGGGACGGCAGUCCCAAUCCAUCCUAUGUGACAUAUCCAUCAACAUGAUUGGCGUUGAGGAAAAGGUAAAAAUGGGAACAGACGCAACGGUGGACAGCCACUGGGGAACUCGUAUAUUUUCCUCCGGGUACGCGUUGCAUCUUCCCUCCAAGCCUUCCAAGCUUCGGUCUUUUGUGAGUCCGAGCCAGAGUAAUCGUCGAUCUCACAUGACGUCGUGAGUCGCGAGGGCUCGUUCUUUAGUUAUGUUAGUCU
rnacentral:rRNA from 1 species